UACGUAGGGGGCAAGCGUUGUCCGGAAUCAUUGGGCGUAAAGAGCGUGUAGGCGGCCAGAAAAGUCCGCUGUGAAAACUCGAGGCUCAACUUCGAGCUGUCGGUGGAAACUUUCUGGCUAGAGUCCGGAAGAGGAGAAUGGAAUUCCUGGUGUAGCGGUGAAAUGCGCAGAUAUCAGGAAGAACACCCGUGGCGAAGGCG
rnacentral:rRNA from 1 species